AACGCGAAGAACCUUACCUGGGCUCGAACGGCUGGUCAACGAUCGUGGAAACACGGUUACUCCGCAAGGGGGUCCAGUCGAGGUGCUGCAUGGCUGUCGUCAGCUCGUGUCGUGAGAUGUUGGGUUAAGUCCCGCAACGAGCGCAACCCUCGUCCUGUGUUGCCAUCAUUUAGUUGGGAACUCGCAGGAGACCGCCAGCGAUAAGCUGGAGGAAGGUGGGGAUGACGUCAAGUCCUCAUGGCCUUUAUGUCCAGGGCUACACACGUGCUACAAUGGCCGGUACAACGCGCCGCUAAGUCGCAAGACGGAGCCAAUCGCAAAAAACCGGUCUCAGUUCGGAUUGCAGGCUGCAACUCGCCUGCAUGAAGCUGGAAUCGCUAGUAAUGGCAGAUCAGAACGCUGCCGUGAAUACGUUCCCGGGCCUUGUACACACCGAGACGAC
rnacentral:rRNA from 1 species